GACGAACGCUGGCGGCGUGCCUAACACAUGCAAGUCGAGCGAGAAAUUUUUAACGGAUUCCUUCGGGGAGAAGAUAAGGAUGGAAAGCGGCGGACGGGUGAGUAACGCGUGAGUAACCUGCCUUUAGGAGGGGGACAACAUUCCGAAAGGGAUGCUAAUACCGCAUAAAAUUAUUGUAUCGCAUGGUAUGAUAAUCAAGGAUUUAUCGCCUAAAGAUGGACUCGCGUCCGAUUAGCUAGUUGGUGGGGUAAAAGCCUACCAAGGCGACGAUCGGUAGCCGAACUGAGAGGUUGAUCGGCCACAUUGGGACUGAGACACGGCCCAGACUCCUACGGGAGGCAGCAGUGGGGGAUAUUGCGCAAUGGGGGAAACCCUGACGCAGCAACGCCGCGUGAAGGAAGAAGGCCUUCGGGUUGUAAACUUCUUUAAGUGUGGAAGA
rnacentral:rRNA from 1 species